UACGUAGGGGGCAAGCGUUGUCCGGAUUUAUUGGGCGUAAAGAGCGUGUAGGCGGCUUUACAGGUCCGUUGUGAAAACUCGAGGCUCAACCUCGAGACGCCGGUGGAAACCGUAAAGCUAGAGUCCGGAAGAGGAGAGUGGAAUUCCUGGUGUAGCGGUGAAAUGCGCAGAUAUCAGGAGGAACACCCGUGGCGAAAGCGGCUCUCUGGGACGGUACUGACGCGAGACGCGAAAGCGUGGGGAGCGAACAGG
rnacentral:rRNA from 1 species